UACGAAGGGGGCUAGCGUUGCUCGGAAUCACUGGGCGUAAAGCGCACGUAGGCGGAUUUGUAAGUCAGGGGUGAAAUCCCGGGGCUCAACCUCGGAACUGCCUUUGAUACUGCAAAUCUCGAGUCCGGAAGAGGUGAGUGGAAUUCCUGGUGUAGCGGUGAAAUGCGCAGAUAUCAGGAGGAACACCGAUGGCGAAGGCAGCUCGCUGGGACGGUACUGACGCUGAGACGCGAAAGCGUGGGGAGCAAACAGG
rnacentral:rRNA from 1 species